rnacentral:rRNA from 1 species
AUGCAUGAGUUAACUAAGGAAAACACUGAGCGUAUGAAUGCUAAAUAUAAACUUGCUGGAGAUAAGGGUAGAAAACAUGUUGUGUUUGCACCUGGAGAUCUUGUUUGGUUACAUUUGCGUAAGGAUAGAUUUCCUGAUUUGCGCAAAUCAAAGCUAAUGCCACGUGCUGAUGGUCCUUUUAAGGUGUUAGAGAAAAUAAAUGAUAAUGCAUAUAAACUUGAGCUGCCUGCAGAUUUUGGGGUUAGUCCCACUUUUAAUAUUGCAGAUUUGAAGCCUUAUUUGGGUGAGGAAGAUGAGCUUCCGUCGAGGACGACUUCAUUUCAAGAAGGGGAGGAUGAUGAGGACAUCACUACAAUUAUUACACCCACAGGCCCUGCUGCUAUACAUACUGGACCAAUUACUAGAGCUCGCGCACGCCAAUUAAAUUACCAGGAAACAGACCCUCGUGGUCAGGUUGAUCGUGCUCCGGCGUGGUCGAUAACCUCUCGGAGUUGGUUUAGCGAUUGCUAA